GCUUUACUCUGUUUCCAAAUUUAUCUGACUACAUAAUGCUUUUGCUAAGUUCUGCUUUAUGCAUCAUGCAAAGUCCUUUGUAGGACCUAUCUUCAGAAGCCUGUCAUGAUUAGGGAAUGGUGGAGAUUUUCAUUCAUAUUAGAGCAUUAUUAAUACAUACAACCACUCCAGAAACCUUCUACGUCAUAGAAAAAGACAAUUUAUCUCUUGAAAAGUCAAUGACCUCACUAUGGGAGUCUUAUUCGGGAAGAACCACGGCCUCACCUGGGACCUCAGAUUUGGCCAACGUUUUUUUUUUUUUUUUUUAGAAUAUCACUCAAAGGGUUAACCUGACUUUCAGCACUGAAGUGGAGUGUUUUCUCUGCAUCCAAUAUGACCCAGUUGGAAAUGUAUUUGUUUUUCACUGUUUAAUCUUCUGCAUCACCCAGCGUUGAUUAGAUUUAAUUAAUUUAUGUUUCUAAUGAAUUUAGAGCCUCACAGUGUUGUAGUAGGAAAAUUCUCAGACAGCAUCUGGCCACCAAAUGGAUUGAUUACCUUGUCUGCAAAAGUCUCUCCAACAUCUGGGACCUGAUUUUGUGAAACAUCCGGAAGCUCUUUCAGAGGAGAGAAUGGUGCUCAGAAACUGUGUUCCUUGCACCUCCAAGAUCACAGAGCCAACCUCUCUCUGUGGGUCUGCUCAACUCCAAAUCCAGUCGGUGGACUUGGCUCUCCUGCCCUUGUCAUCUGGACACAGUAAUGCUCCAACAUUUGGGUAUUUUUUGUGGUGGGGAAGACUUCCUCUGGGUUUGCACCUCACCGGUGAUUCUUCACGGAGAAGGAAGAGGAGAUUGAAACUUCAGGCCAGUGUAACUCUGCUCUUCAGCUUCUCUCUGACAUUACAAAACCUUCAUUUCCUUCCUCUCCCCCAUCUUCUGAUAUGCCCAUCUCUUCUGAGAAGCAUGAGAAAUACAUCUUGUUCUUUGGAUUCCCUUUUACCCUUGGACAAAGUCACCUUGGUUGGCAAUUAGUGAUUAUUAAUAAAAAGAUGGCAAACAUAUUCAUAGAUGUUUGCUGUAUGCUGGCCAUCAGGUUCUGAGUUUCCAAAUAUUUAUCUCAUUAGAUCCUGUUAGAUAAAAGGUGUUAUGCAGACAUUUUAACUCCUGUUUUACAGACAUGGAAACUAAGACUAAGGAAGGCCAAACUAACAAGUUGGUAGAGUCUGGGCUUAAAUUAGGGUCUGCAGACUUCAAAGCUUUUCCAUAACAUCAUUGCUGUCUGUCAUCUGUGGAAGAACCAUUACUCAAGGGCUUGGGGACAAGGCCUAACUCACUUUUGUGAUCCUAGUAACUAGGAUUGUGCUUGUCACCUUUUAGGUGCUUAUUGUGGAACUUAAUUUUGGGAGAAGAGGAGUUUCCCAAAUUGCAUACUAUCUUUGGAAUGAGCCUCAGCAUCCAUUCCUAAACAUCUUCUCUGCCUUGGCUGAGUCACAGAAAAUGACUCUUGCUCCCUAAAGGUGGGUGGUUUGACUGUGAGAUCAUCUUGGGGACAUAGGUAUGUCUGGGAGCAGAUGGCUCAUUCCAAGUGGGAAGGUCCCAGGAAGGAAGCAAACGGUUUGGGUCUACUGCAUUCUGCUUUGGAAGAGGCCAAAGUAAACCGUUAUACCAGCAGCUCCCAGUUUGUGUCAAGUGACCCAUGGUAUUUGAGCAAACUCACACAUGUGCUGGAGGAUGUU
rnacentral:lncRNA from 1 species